AUGAACGCUAGCUACAGGCUUAACACAUGCAAGUCGAGGGGCAUCAGGAAGAAAGCUUGCUUUCUUUGCUGGCGACCGGCGCACGGGUGAGUAACACGUAUCCAACCUGCCCUUUACUCGGGGAUAGCCUUUCGAAAGAAAGAUUAAUACCCGAUAGCAUAAUGAUUCCGCAUGGUUUCAUUAUUAAAGGAUUCCGGUAAAGGAUGGGGAUGCGUUCCAUUAGGUUGUUGGUGAGGUAACGGCUCACCAAGCCUUCGAUGGAUAGGGGUUCUGAGAGGAAGGUCCCCCACAUUGGAACUGAGACACGGUCCAAACUCCUACGGGAGGCAGCAGUGAGGAAUAUUGGUCAAUGGGCGCUAGCCUGAACCAGCCAAGUAGCGUGAAGGAUGAAGGCUCUAUGGGUCGUAAACUUCUUUUAUAUAAGAAUAAAGUGCAGUAUGUAUACUGUUUUGUAUGUAUUAUAUGAAUAAGGAUCGGCUAACUCCGUGCCAGCAGCCGCGGUAAUACGGAGGAUCCGAGCGUUAUCCGGAUUUAUUGGGUUUAAAGGGAGCGUAGGUGGACUGGUAAGUCAGUUGUGAAAGUUUGCGGCUCAACCGUAAAAUUGCAGUUGAUACUGUCAGUCUUGAGUACAGUAGAGGUGGGCGGAAUUCGUGGUGUAGCGGUGAAAUGCUUAGAUAUCACGAAGAACUCCGAUUGCGAAGGCAGCUCACUGGACUGCAACUGACACUGAUGCUCGAAAGUGUGGGUAUCAAACAGGAUUAGAUACCCUGGUAGUCCACACAGUAAACGAUGAAUACUCGCUGUUUGCGAUAUACAGUAAGCGGCCAAGCGAAAGCAUUAAGUAUUCCACCUGGGGAGUACGCCGGCAACGGUGAAACUCAAAGGAAUUGACGGGGGCCCGCACAAGCGGAGGAACAUGUGGUUUAAUUCGAUGAUACGCGAGGAACCUUACCCGGGCUUAAAUUGCAGUGGAAUGAUGUGGAAACAUGUCAGUGAGCAAUCACCGCUGUGAAGGUGCUGCAUGGUUGUCGUCAGCUCGUGCCGUGAGGUGUCGGCUUAAGUGCCAUAACGAGCGCAACCCUUAUCUUCAGUUACUAACAGGUCAUGCUGAGGACUCUGGAGAGACUGCCGUCGUAAGAUGUGAGGAAGGUGGGGAUGACGUCAAAUCAGCACGGCCCUUACGUCCGGGGCUACACACGUGUUACAAUGGGGGGUACAGAGGGCCGCUACCACGCGAGUGGAUGCCAAUCCCCAAAACCUCUCUCAGUUCGGACUGGAGUCUGCAACCCGACUCCACGAAGCUGGAUUCGCUAGUAAUCGCGCAUCAGCCACGGCGCGGUGAAUACGUUCCCGGGCCUUGUACACACCGCCCGUCAAGCCAUGGGAGCCGGGGGUACCUGAAGUACGUAACCGCAAGGAUCGUCCUAGGGUAAAACUGGUGACUGGGGCU
rnacentral:rRNA from 1 species